GAUGAACGCUGGCGGCGUGCCUAAUACAUGCAAGUCGAGCGAACCACUUCGGUGGUGAGCGGCGUACGGGUGAGUAACACGUAGGUGAUCUGCCCAUCAGACGGGGACAACGAUUGGAAACGAUCGCUAAUACCGGAUAGGACGAAAGUUUAAAGGUGCUUCUGGCACCGCUGAUGGAUGAGCCUGCGGCGCAUUAGCUAGUUGGUAGGGUAAAGGCCUACCAAGGCGACGAUGCGUAGCCGACCUGAGAGGGUGAACGGCCACACUGGGACUGAGACACGGCCCAGACUCCUACGGGAGGCAGCAGUAGGGAAUCUUCGGCAAUGGGCGAAAGCCUGACCGAGCAACGCCGCGUGAAUGAUGAAGGCCUUCGGGUUGUAAAAUUCUGUUAUAAGGGAAGAACGACUUUAGUAGGAAAUGGCUAGAGUGUGACGGUACCUUAUGAGAAAGCCACAGCUAACUACGUGCCAGCCGCCGCGGUAA
rnacentral:rRNA from 1 species